AAAGCCGUCUCAGUUCGGACUGCAGUCUGCAACUCGACUGCACGAAGUCGGAAUUGCUAGUAAUCGCGGAUCAGCAUGCCGCGGUGAAUACGUUCCCGGGUCUUGUACACACCGCCCGUCACACCAUGAGAGCCGGAAACACCCGAAGUCCGUAGCCUAACCGCAAGGGGGGCGCGGCCGAAGGUGGGUUUGGUAAUUGGGGUGAAGUCGUAACAAGGUAAC
rnacentral:rRNA from 1 species